AAUGAACGUUGGCGGCAUGGAUUAGGCAUGCAAGUCGAGCGAGAAGUGUAGCAAUACACGGAAAGCGGCGGAAGGGAGAGUAAUACGUGGGAAUCUGCCCUUAGACCUGGGAUAGCAGCGGGAAACUGCUGGUAAUACCAGAUAAUGUCUAUGGACCAAAGGUGUGAUUCCGUCUAGGGAUGAGCCCACGUCCUAUUAGCUAGUUGGUAGGGUAAUGGCCUACCAAGGCGAUGAUGGGUAGCGGGUGUGAGAGCAUGACCCGCCUCACUGGGACUGAGACAGUGCCCAGACACCGACGGGUGGCUGCAGUCGAGAAUCUUCGGCAACGGGCGCAAGCCUGACCGAGCGAUGCCGCGUGCGGGAUGAAGGCCUUCGGGUUGUAAACCGCUGUCGAGGGGGAGCAACUUCCAUAGAGUUAUCUUUAUGGAUUGAGUGAUCCCUGGAGGAAGGACGGGCUAAGUUCGUGCCAGCCGCCGCGGUAACAC
rnacentral:rRNA from 1 species